CCUACGGGAGGCAGCAGUGAGGAAUAUUGGUCAAUGGGCGCGAGCCUGAACCAGCCAAGUAGCGUGAAGGAUGACGGCCCUACGGGUUGUAAACUUCUGUUAUAAAGGAAUAAAGUGAGGCACGUGUGCCUUUUUGUAUGUACUUUAUGAAUAAGGAUAGGCUAACUCCGUGCCAGCAGCCGCGGUCAUACGGAGGAUCCGAGCGUUAUCCGGAUUUAUUGGGGUGAAAGGGAGCGUAGAUGGGUUGUUAAGUCCGUUGUGACAGUUUGCGGCUCCACCGUAAAAUUGCAAUUGAUACUGGCAGUCUUUAUUACAGUUGCGGUCGGCGGAAUUCGUGGUGUAGCGG
rnacentral:rRNA from 1 species